rnacentral:piRNA from 1 species
UGAGACAUUACAAUGAAUAAU